GUGCUUCUAUUAGUGGCGCCUCUGAUCCCUCACUUACUUCUGUAGUUGUCUGCAAUGAUGAUAACUAUUAGAUAUAAAAAUUAGUCAUGCUAGUUAGUUGUUCUAAGGCUUAAGUACUCUUUGAUUUUGAAUUUAGUUUUCUCAAAUCAAUAAUGUUAUCUUCGUGUCGGUGUCAAUGUCGUGUCUUUUUUAAUGUUUGGAUUAUUGUUUCAGAGUUUCAUUGUCUAGAAGUUUAAACUUCUCAAUGUCCUUCUUUAGCCUUUGCAUCACACCAGAAGGUCUCAUAAUAAAUGGCAAUGGAUUUCACACAGAAGAUGAAAUUUUUUGUUAUUUAUUCAGCUAAUGCUAGCAAUGGCUGUUGAUUUUGAUAAAUUCCAAUUCUUAUUACUCUAAUUAUCAUCUUUUAACUUUAUUUUUAAAUUUCAUUUUAUGGCUUUAAUUAUGAGAAAAUCCCAAUCCACUCCAGUUCCUGAAGAGAGGCUAGCAGAAGAUGUUGGUCACACCCUUCCUCAAGUCUUAACUGGUGCACUCCUUGGUUCUACAGUUGCCAUUUUAUGCUUCAUGCUUCUGCGUCGAUAGGAUUUGAUUUCAAAAAUUGCUCCCACAUGGAUGAAUGUUUCAUUAAAGAUGAAAGAGGACCCAAAGACCGAUAAAGAGUUUGGAUGGGUGCUAGAAAUGUAUGCUUAUGUUGUCGCAUCUGCCCUGCACGACGUGAAACAUAUUCUACGGAAAGACUUCAUGCUACAGGUUCGGAGUAGUUCUAUUCGAGGCACUGUGUUCACAGCCUGCUUUGAAUCCUGGCCUUCGAAAGGAACAGGUUAGUCUUGGAGAUUGGGCUUUGCUCAACAAAAGAAAAGGAACAUUGGAGGAUAUUAUUGAUCCAAAUUUGAAAGGAAAGAUUAACCCUGAAGAGCUUCUUGCUUCAAUGAAGGUAGAGAAUUCUAGAGUACAGUGCUAAAUUUGAGGGUUGAAUUUAGAGUAUGCAAUACUUAAACAGCGUAUGAAUUGUAUGUAAUUAAUUGUCUGAAGAACCUUUUUGUAUAAGAAGGCUGAGUACCAAGUUCAUCUGACCUGUUUUGUGUAAUAUAUGAAAUCUUAUUUGUAUUUUAUCACAUUUGUUAAUGUGUAUCUAUGACUUAGUUAAAAUAUGAUUUUUAUGUGUAUGAUUUUAUAGUAUUUGCAAUAUUAUGACUGAAAAUGAAAUAUAACU